rnacentral:lncRNA from 1 species
GAGUGCAAGAUACAAACAGUAUCUCAAACAUAUCUUUUAUGAUUCAGUUACUCUAUUUCUCUUAAUUUAAUUUUCAGGAAUGCAUUAUUGACUAUGUUCACUAUACAAUCACAGACAUAACAGAGAGGGCUGUACCAGAAGUCAGCUUUUUCAGCAGGAUGAGCUUCUGUGAAGACUAUGUGACUGCAGUAAAUGUGUCCUAUGAAUAUCAAUUUGUGCUUGAUCUUGAAUAUUGCUACUGGGUAUAGUUAAUGUCAGAAAUAUUUUAUAUGUAUCUCCAAAUCAGUCAUAUUGCUUAAUAGGCUUUUGUUGUUCAGUUUUGAUUGCAUAUACUUUAAUUUUGGAAUAAUGCACAAUAUAUAUGCAUAUGCAAAUUGGUUUACAGCAGAAAAGCAAGUAACUCAUCAAAUGCAAUGCAGUAACUUUCUGUAAAACUGUUUAUUGAUUAUAAUAAUGUUUAUUUGACUAUUUCAUGCACUUAUA